ensembl:snoRNA
UGAAUCAAUGAUAUGUAACUGCCAGCAGAUGAGUCACAAUGAUCAAUAAUACGGGUCUGGACCUCUGAGGUCCAA